GACAGCAGCAGCCGCGGGAAUACGGAGGAUCCAAGCGUUAUCCGGAAUCAUUGGGUUUAAAGGGUCCGUAGGCGGUCUUGUAAGUCAGUGGUGAAAGCCCAUCGCUCAACGGUGGAACGGCCAUUGAUACUGCAGGACUUGAAUUAUUGGGAAGUAACUAGAAUAUGUAGUGUAGCGGUGAAAUGCUUAGAGAUUACAUGGAAUACCAAUUGCGAAGGCAGGUUACUACCAAUUGAUUGACGCUGAUGGACGAAAGCGUGGGUAGCGAACAGGAUUAGAUACCCGCGUAGUCCCUGUCUCUUAUAC
rnacentral:rRNA from 1 species